UCCCCUGUGGCGCAGUCGGUUAACGCAUUACGCUUAUAUUUUUCAAAUUAUCUUUUGAGACGUGAACAUCCGGGGUUCGAUCCCCCGCAGGGGAA